UACGUAGGGUGCAAGCGUUGUCCGGAAUUAUUGGGCGUAAAGAGCUCGUAGGCGGUUUGUUGCGUCGGCUGUGAAAUCCCGAGGCUCAACCUCGGGUCUGCAGUCGAUACGAGCAAACUAGAGUGUUGCAGGGGAGACUGGAAUUCCUGGUGUAGCGGUGGAAUGCGCAGAUAUCAGGAGGAACACCGGUGGCGAAGGCGGGUCUCUGGGCAGUAACUGACGCUGAGGAGCGAAAGCGUGGGAAGCGAACAGG
rnacentral:rRNA from 1 species